rnacentral:rRNA from 1 species
GACGAACGCUGGCGGCGUGCCUAAUACAUGCAAGUUGAGCGCUGAAGGUUGGUACUUGUACCAACUGGAUGAGCAGCGAACGGGUGAGUAACGCGUGGGGAAUCUGCCUUUGAGUGGGGGACAACAUUUGGAAACGAAUGCUAAUACCGCAUAAAAACUUUAAACACAAGUUUUAAGUUUGAAAGAUGCAAUUGCAUCACUCAAAGAUGAUUCCGCGUUGUAUUAGCUAGUUGGUGAGGUAAAGGCUCACCAAGGCGAUGAUACAUAGCCGACCUGAGAGGGUGAUCGGCCACAUUGGGACUGAGACACGGCCCAAACUCCUACGGGAGGCAGCAGUAGGGAAUCUUCGGCAAUGGACGAAAGUCUGACCGAGCAACGCCGCGUGAGUGAAGAAGGUUUUCGGAUCGUAAAACUCUGUUGGUAGAGAAGAACGUUGGUGAGAGUGGAAAGCUCAUCAAGUGACGGUAACUACCCAGAAAGGGACGGCUAACUACGUG